GGGUUUUGAUUGGUUUAUGCGGUUAUCAAUCGGAAGCAGAACACCAUCGUGUUCUUGGAGACUGGUUCUCGCUAGAUCUGAUCGCAGCUAUGUCCAUCUUCAUCGCAGCUAGCUGAGGCUAUGGCGACUCGCACAGAUCGAACAACACGAGGAGUUAAUGGAAAUAAAAUAUUUGGAAUGGCAAUCUCUCCGAUUAAGAGUUAAGACAAAAGGUAUGAUAUUAAACUGCAUUAUGAACAAGAAAUACUUCUUAGGUGUUGGCAGAUUUUUUCCUUUUCAGAAUUACCAACAGAGAUGCAGACAUAAGAAGCAAAAAGUUUCACAAAAUGCACAUGUGCGAUUGCCUCGUGAAUUCUUAUUGCUAUCAGCUUGAAGAAGAAGCAUUUAGACCAUGGUUCCCGAAAUAAUGUUAUUCUAACCAUCAAGGUAUUUGUUCUGCUUCAUCUAAUUUAUUUCGACUUAACUAAUGAAAGUCCUAUUGUCAGCCAUUAAUAUUAUAUUUUUUUUUUCAUUAGAAGUCUGCCAUUUUAUAGGAUCAGCUGUUUUGCUAAAAUCUUGUUUUAUUAUCAAUAAAAUAUUAUGUUAAAACUAUAUGUUUGGAAUUAUAUUGACAAUGCUUAGUGGUAGGUUUUGGAAACAAUGACCACCAAAAAGUGCCAAGAAAAGUGUUAUUUGGAAUAACCCUUGGAGAUUCUUUUUUCAAAUGUGCUGCAAGUCGACAAUUAUCAAAACCCACCAAAGUCAUCAUGAAGGCCUUCUCAGUCUUAAAAAAGAUAAACUCAUUAGUAAUACAACACUUUGUGGUCUAGGAUGUGACUCCAAAAUUCUGGUAAUCUUUGCUUUUAACUAUUUGUGAAAUUAUUCCAUUUGUUUUUUCUUUCUCAUCGAUGAUUUGAUAGUGCCUUAUGAUUAUUUUUUAAUUUAUGUUUGAAUUUUUUUAUUAGUAUUUUAAUGGACUAUUUGCCUUCGUAAACUAGUUUUGAAUACAAACUUUACAUAGAACAAAAACUUAAUUAUGAUGUCAGUAAUCAAGAAUUUUUUUCUAGUUUACAUUUGUUAUGAGCUCUUUCUAAUUAUUUUGCAUUUUGUUCUACUUUUAUUUUUAGUUUGCGUAUUCACUCAUUUAAAUUAUAGAUUCUUUCACAUCUUUGACAAUCAGUGAAUUGGAUAAAAUUUACUGAAAUGUAAUUUAUUGUCCUAGAAUAUGAUGUAAUAUUUAAAUAAAACAGUGGCUCUCCUUUGCUUGAUAUGAAAAUUUAAGGAUUUCAUCCGUAAUGAGUCUUUUGACAAAAAGAAUGGCUGAUUUCUGCUAAAAAUUGAUGUGGCUAAAACACAAGAAAAAGAUGCAUAACAAGAAUAAGAAAUUUAAAACAAAAGCUUGUUGCUAAUGUUGUUGAGGCACUAUUUGGUCUUUACUUCAGCACUUGAGAAGAAAUGUCGACACAAUUUUUCUUGGAACAUUAGGUAUAAAGACAAAUUUAUAUAUAUGCCUCAUGAAACAAAAUUUGAAAUGAAACCUGAAAAGCAUGUUAAUAUUUGUCAUUUAGAGUCACUCCUAAAUUACUCUUUUAGAAGUCCUUGUAAGAUCCACGUGCCUGUAGUAAUUUAUCAGCGACUCUAAAUGACCGAUAUCCACAUGCUCUUUUGGUUCAUUUCAUAUGGUAUAUAUAUAUAAAAUCUGUAUUUAUACCGAUUCAUUCCAAGAAACAUUAUGUUACAUUUUUUCUCUAGUGCUAAGGUAAGCACGCAAAAAGGGCCUCAACAACAUCAACGAUAAGCUUUUAUUUUAAAUUUCUUGUUCUUACUAUGCAUAUCUUUCUUUUGAUUGAAAGAAGCUAUUCCUUUCAUGAGUAGCUUCCAAAUUUUUUGCGGAUGAAACAUCAAAAUUUUCUGAUCAAGUAGAGGAACCAUUAGUUUUAGUUAAAAAUUGUAUCGUCAUUUUAGGACCAUAAAACACAUUUCAAUAAAAAAAUUAUGGUUAUUGGUUGUGAAAUAAUCUGUAAUUUAAAUGGCUGCAUUAUGCAUACUUAAGUUAAAAGAGAGAACAAAAUGUAAAAGAAUUAGAGAAAGUUGCAAACCACCGUAAGCUAGAAAAAUAUUCUUAAUAUGUGUUAUCGCAAUUAAGUCUUUGCUCUAUAAAAAAGUUUUAAGGUACUAUCAGAUCAUGCAUAAGAAACGAAAAACAAAAGAAAUAAUUUAAUGAAUCUUUAAAAGCAAAAAUUACCGAAAUUUUGAAGUCAAAUCUUAGUCUGUAGAGUGUAACAUUACUAAUGAGGUUAUCUUUUUUAAUAUUUAGAAAGUAGUCAUGACUACUUUAUGUGAAUAACUACUGCGAAGCAUUAUAUUUAAAAAAAGAAUCACCAAGGGUCUUUAGUUAUUCCAAAUGAAACCUUUCUUAGCAUUUUUUGGUGGUUAUUGCUUCCAAAACCUACCAUUUUGUAUUGGCAAUAUAAUUCCAAAUAUAUAGUUUCAAUGUAACAUUUUACAAAUAAGAAUUUAGCAAAACAGAUAAUCAUAUAAGAUGGUAGACUUCUAAAAGCGGUUUUUUAAGUAAAGAGGUUGCCUAUAGGACUUUCAUUAGUUAAGUCUCAAAAUAAAUGAGACGAAUAACAGUUAUCUUGAAGGUUGGAAUAACAUCAUUUUGCACACAAUAUCUAAAUGCCCCGUCUUCAAGCUGAUAGCAAUAAGGAAAGACUCGAUAUGAUGCAUGAUUGAUGAAACAAAUAUAAAUGUGACGGAGUUCAGUAGGCAACUGCACAUGAAUUUUGUGAAACUACAAAACAGAUACUAUAAUUUAGUAAAUACAGAAUAACCGAGAUGUAGAAUCAGAAUAGACAAGACUUGCGUACAACGCUAGCAAAUGUUUUGAUGGAGCUGGGUUGCUAUGCAAACUGAUAGUUUGCAUGUCUGUUUUGUAAGAUAAUUAUUGGUUCUUUUUUCGCCGAAAGGAUUAAACGUUGGUUAUUCUUUUUUUAGCCGAAAGGAUUAAACGUCGGUUAUUCUUUUUGAAUCACUAAACAUCUCUUUAAGAUUGCACUUA